rnacentral:misc_RNA from 1 species
AUUUGGACUCACAGCCUAUGGGAAACAAUAGUAAACUUGAGGAUAUUCAAGAGGUAGUUAAGCAAUUAAACCAUGAGGAAUAUGAUACAGGCAAUGAGAAUCAGAAAAUCAGUGAUAGAAGAGCUUCAUUUCCUCUAAAUAUUGAGAAUCAGGAGAAUGGAGUUCGUAGUACACCAAAAGUGCCUAGCUAUAUGGCACCCACUGAAUCUGCAAGAGCUAAG